CUGAGAAGAAAGCUUAAUAAUCUUGUGUGCAAAUUCUUCGAAGAAGGCUGUAAAUUUCUCUAUUUUGAUCUUAUCCAAAUUCUGUUGGGACACGAAGACAUGGCUAUGCUUCAGGAUCAGAAUAUCAAUAUACAUUUUGAUGGUGCUUCUUUGUUUGGAAAGAAUGAUACUUCCAAAUCCCUGAAGAAAGGAGGAGGACUUGGUGGAAGAAAAGCACGUAAUGACAUCUCAAACUCAGCAAA